AUUGAACGCUGGCGGCAUGCUUUACACAUGCAAGUCGAACGGCAGCGCGGGGCAACCUGGCGGCGAGUGGCGAACGGGUGAGUAAUACAUCGGAACGUACCCAGAAGUGGGGGAUAACGUAGCGAAAGUUACGCUAAUACCGCAUACGUUCUACGGAAGAAAGUGGGGGAUCGCAAGACCUCAUGCUUUUGGAGCGGCCGAUGUCUGAUUAGCUAGUUGGUGAGGUAAAGGCCCACCAAGGCGACGAUCAGUAGCUGGUCUGAGAGGACGACCAGCCACACUGGGACUGAGACACGGCCCAGACUCCUACGGGAGGCAGCAGUGGGGAAUUUUGGACAAUGGGCGCAAGCCUGAUCCAGCAAUGCCGCGUGAGUGAAGAAGGCCUUCGGGUUGUAAAGCUCUUUUGUCAGGGAAGAAACGGCUGAGGUUAAUACCUUCGGCUAAUGACGGUACCUGAAGAAUAAGCACCGGCUAACUACGUGCCAGCCGCCGCAGUAA
rnacentral:rRNA from 1 species